rnacentral:rRNA from 1 species
UACGAAGGGGGCUAGCGUUGCUCGGAAUUACUGGGCGUAAAGGGAGCGUAGGCGGACAGUUUAGUCAGAGGUGAAAGCCCAGGGCUCAACCUUGGAAUUGCCUUUGAUACUGGCUGUCUUGAGUACGGGAGAGGUGUGUGGAACUCCGAGUGUAGAGGUGAAAUGCGUAGAUAUCUGGAGGAACACCGGUGGCGAAGGCGGCAUCCUGGACCGGUAUUGACGCUGAGGCGGCGAAAGCUAGGGGAGCAAACGGG